CCAAAAGAAGUUGGUCAGCCCUCUUCUUCUUCGCUGACUCUGGUUGGCUAAUGUGGGUUUAGAAGAGGAUAUCUUGCUCCUAUUGGCUUACAUUUGGUGUCAAUCAAAAGGUUAGAGUCUAUCGAGCAGUUUGAUAUAUCCGGGUUGUAAAGGUACGCGGCAGAGAAUGGCUAGCUACUUGUCUGAAAUAUUUUGUCAUAUCUGCCGGCUGAUUUGAAAUGAUGCAACGGCAGUUUGUGGAUAUUUAUGGAUGUAAUCACGUGUUUUGGACAACAUCUUUUACUGAAUUUGAAUCGUAUGGACCUUUUUACGAGGUAACGAGACCGUUUUUAUUGGAAUGUGAUGACCUGUGGCUCAAAACGAAGCUUCAUCGUACCUGGACUCCUGCCCUAUUUCCUCUGCACCUGAGCUCUUGCCUCACCACACCUCGUGAUGCCCCGGUGGCAGUGGGUGCCUGGCGGGGGAGCUUGAACCUCUUCGCUCUCCGUCACCAGAGUGUCAUCGAUUGCUGCGGCCCUCUUCUUUCCACUUCCGUAAUUUGUUAUUACGACCCGGCAGGAACUUUAUGCGUUUCCAUAGCGAAUCCAAACACACAGAUGCUUCAGCCAUGUUUAAAAAAAAAAAAAAGGAAAC